rnacentral:rRNA from 1 species
UUAAGCGACUAAGCGUACACGGUGGAUGCCCUGGCAGUCAGAGGCGAUGAAGGACGUGCUAAUCUGCGAUAAGCGUCGGUAAGGUGAUAUGAACCGUUAUAACCGGCGAUUUCCGAAUGGGGAAACCCAGUGUGAUUCGUCACACUAUCAUUAACUGAAUCCAUAGGUUAAUGAGGCGAACCGGGGGAACUGAAACAUCUAAGUACCCCGAGGAAAAGAAAUCAACCGAGAUUCCCCCAGUAGCGGCGAGCGAACGGGGAGCAGCCCAGAGCCUGAAUCAGUGUGUGUGUUAGUGGAAGCGUCUGGAAAGGCGCGCGAUACAGGGUGACAGCCCCGUACACAAAAAUGCACAUGCUGUGAGCUCGAUGAGUAGGGCGGGACACGUGGUAUCCUGUCUGAAUAUGGGGGGACCAUCCUCCAAGGCUAAAUACUCCUGACUGACCGAUAGUGAACCAGUACCGUGAGGGAAAGGCGAAAAGAACCCCGGCGAGGGGAGUGAAAAAGAACCUGAAACCGUGUACGUACAAGCAGUGGGAGCACGCUUAGGCGUGUGACUGCGUACCUUUUGUAUAAUGGGUCAGCGACUUAUAUUCUGUAGCAAGGUUAACCGAAUAGGGGAGCCGAAGGGAAACCGAGUCUUAACUGGGCGUUAAGUUGCAGGGUAUAGACCCGAAACCCGGUGAUCUAGCCAUGGGCAGGUUGAAGGUUGGGUAACACUAACUGGAGGACCGAACCGACUAAUGUUGAAAAAUUAGCGGAUGACUUGUGGCUGGGGGUGAAAGGCCAAUCAAACCGGGAGAUAGCUGGUUCUCCCCGAAAGCUAUUUAGGUAGCGCCUCGUGAAUUCAUCUCCGGGGGUAGAGCACUGUUUCGGCAAGGGGGUCAUCCCGACUUACCAACCCGAUGCAAACUACGAAUACCGGAGAAUGUUAUCACGGGAGACACACGGCGGGUGCUAACGUCCGUCGUGAAGAGGGAAACAACCCAGACCGCCAGCUAAGGUCCCAAAGUCAUGGUUAAGUGGGAAACGAUGUGGGAAGGCCCAGACAGCCAGGAUGUUGGCUUAGAAGCAGCCAUCAUUUAAAGAAAGCGUAAUAGCUCACUGGUCGAGUCGGCCUGCGCGGAAGAUGUAACGGGGCUAAACCAUGCACCGAAGCUGCGGCAGCGACGCUUAUGCGUUGUUGGGUAGGGGAGCGUUCUGUAAGCCUGCGAAGGUGUGCUGUGAGGCAUGCUGGAGGUAUCAGAAGUGCGAAUGCUGACAUAAGUAACGAUAAAGCGGGUGAAAAGCCCGCUCGCCGGAAGACCAAGGGUUCCUGUCCAACGUUAAUCGGGGCAGGGUGAGUCGACCCCUAAGGCGAGGCCGAAAGGCGUAGUCGAUGGGAAACAGGUUAAUAUUCCUGUACUUGGUGUUACUGCGAAGGGGGGACGGAGAAGGCUAUGUUGGCCGGGCGACGGUUGUCCCGGUUUAAGCGUGUAGGCUGGUUUUCCAGGCAAAUCCGGAAAAUCAAGGCUGAGGCGUGAUGACGAGGCACUACGGUGCUGAAGCAACAAAUGCCCUGCUUCCAGGAAAAGCCUCUAAGCAUCAGGUAACAUCAAAUCGUACCCCAAACCGACACAGGUGGUCAGGUAGAGAAUACCAAGGCGCUUGAGAGAACUCGGGUGAAGGAACUAGGCAAAAUGGUGCCGUAACUUCGGGAGAAGGCACGCUGAUAUGUAGGUGAAGUCCCUCGCGGAUGGAGCUGAAAUCAGUCGAAGAUACCAGCUGGCUGCAACUGUUUAUUAAAAACACAGCACUGUGCAAACACGAAAGUGGACGUAUACGGUGUGACGCCUGCCCGGUGCCGGAAGGUUAAUUGAUGGGGUUAGCGCAAGCGAAGCUCUUGAUCGAAGCCCCGGUAAACGGCGGCCGUAACUAUAACGGUCCUAAGGUAGCGAAAUUCCUUGUCGGGUAAGUUCCGACCUGCACGAAUGGCGUAAUGAUGGCCAGGCUGUCUCCACCCGAGACUCAGUGAAAUUGAACUCGCUGUGAAGAUGCAGUGUACCCGCGGCAAGACGGAAAGACCCCGUGAACCUUUACUAUAGCUUGACACUGAACAUUGAGCCUUGAUGUGUAGGAUAGGUGGGAGGCUUUGAAGUGUGGACGCCAGUCUGCAUGGAGCCGACCUUGAAAUACCACCCUUUAAUGUUUGAUGUUCUAACGUUGACCCGUAAUCCGGGUUGCGGACAGUGUCUGGUGGGUAGUUUGACUGGGGCGGUCUCCUCCUAAAGAGUAACGGAGGAGCACGAAGGUUGGCUAAUCCUGGUCGGACAUCAGGAGGUUAGUGCAAUGGCAUAAGCCAGCUUGACUGCGAGCGUGACGGCGCGAGCAGGUGCGAAAGCAGGUCAUAGUGAUCCGGUGGUUCUGAAUGGAAGGGCCAUCGCUCAACGGAUAAAAGGUACUCCGGGGAUAACAGGCUGAUACCGCCCAAGAGUUCAUAUCGACGGCGGUGUUUGGCACCUCGAUGUCGGCUCAUCACAUCCUGGGGCUGAAGUAGGUCCCAAGGGUAUGGCUGUUCGCCAUUUAAAGUGGUACGCGAGCUGGGUUUAGAACGUCGUGAGACAGUUCGGUCCCUAUCUGCCGUGGGCGCUGGAGAAUUGAGGGGGGCUGCUCCUAGUACGAGAGGACCGGAGUGGACGCAUCACUGGUGUUCGGGUUGUCAUGCCAAUGGCACUGCCCGGUAGCUAAAUGCGGAAGAGAUAAGUGCUGAAAGCAUCUAAGCACGAAACUUGCCCCGAGAUGAGUUCUCCCUGACUCCUUGAGAGUCCUGAAGGAACGUUGAAGACGACGACGUUGAUAGGCCGGGUGUGUAAGCGCAGCGAUGCGUUGAGCUAACCGGUACUAAUGAACCGUGAGGCUUAACCUU